AUUGCAGCCAUAUCGUCGGGGGAAAGGACGAGUAUUACCCGGUGAAGCAAGUUUUAAAGACAAAAAUCCAGAAGGGGAAACAAAUAGAGCUGGUGGAGUGGGAACCAUGUUCCAUGUGUGGGAAGACGUGGCCUCCACAGUGGGUGGCAAAGGAGAAUACAAAGAACUAAAACAGCUACCUUCAGUAUUCUGUGGGC